rnacentral:lncRNA from 1 species
UUAGACCUGUGUUUUCUGGGAGCUGUAACUGGAAUUCUCUAUAAGCCAAUUAAACUCCUUUUGACGAGUUCAGGGGAAUCAGCGUGUUUGUGUUGGCUUGCCGGGCCUUCAAGGCUCACAGACUUAGCCAGCUCAGGCACAGUUCGGCAGCCAGAGAAGGCAUUAGUCUCCCCCACAUAUCUACCCUGCAGGCUUCAUGGUGAAGAGCAAUGCCAGGGAGUUCAAGUGAUUACUUGCUUUAGGGAAACAAAAGCCAACAACCCAAGAAUCAACGUCCCCAAGAAAAGGUCAAUAGGCCUCAGUGCUGUAAUGGAUGUAACAAAUAUUUAAAUAAGGAUAAUAUAAAAAUGUGUUUGCUCAUUGAUUUAUUUCCAAUGACUUGGCUUUCACUCCACUGAGUGGUUCACAAAUUCAAACUUGAUUUCUGCUGACACGUUAGCCACACCGCUUCUCUUUUCCUUCCUUCCAUCUGCCUUUCAAUCACAUUUCACAGUCCCUUCCAAAAGGACCACAAAGUAUAGCACCAGCGAUAUUCUCAGUCUAUCAAAUGACUACAUAUUAAGUGGCUUUGUAAAGCAGUGAACCUGAGCCAAGUUUCUGUACAAUGCCGAGGAAAAGCCAGGGCUCUGGAGAGACUGGUCCAGGCCACAGGGAAUGGCCAGGCCCACUUCAAUCCUAACCAUCAGAGUAGCUUCUUCCCUUCCCAAAGCUUGAGUCCUACGGGAGGAAGAAGACGAGGAUCUCCUUGAAUUUAGAAUUGCAAUACGUCUCAGCUGGAAGGGCCCCAAGAGAUCCCCUAGUUUAGCCCAAGGAAGCAAAGUUUGGGCCACUAUAAAGAGAACUGCCCAAGAUCCUCAACUGAUAUACAGGGGAAAACAAGAGAGGAAGAAUACUGGCCUUCAGGAUGCUGCCCGCUUCUCCCUUCUGCCCACCCAGCAGCAUGCAAGCAAGCAUGCUUCAACUUAAUCAUAAGUGAACCUCAAACCACAGCUGAGGAUUGUUUUGAUUCUUGCUUGGAAAUAAUCCCAGUGCCUUCUUGGGUGGAAUGAAGUAUGUGAGGUGGGAGAAGAGGUCCCAGGCGGGAUUAUCUGCUACACAGACUGAUCUUUGUACCCACUUCCAUGUGCAUUCCCAUGCGCUCUGUCUUCGAAAGCCAUGGGGUGCUAGUGGUUCUCUCCCAACAUUUUUUCAUGAAAAUUUCCCGUGGGCACUCCAGCACCAUGUCAAGAUCAUUGACUGUAGACUCGUCACUACACCCACUGGUCUCUCAAAGAGGACAGAAAAAGCUACAGCCUUUCACUACAGUUCUUCUUUCAACUCAGGUUUUCCAAUCAAGAUGGAGUAACAGGAACUGGAUUUACACUCUUAUCUGAAACAACCAAAAAUCCCCAGACAAUGUACAUGAAAACAACAGUGAUCGUGACACUAGGCAUUAAGCAAUGAAGAACAGGGAUCCUGGAGAAAUAGGAAACCAGCAAGAUUAGCCCUGAGCUAACUGCUGCCAAUCCUCCUCUUUCUGCUGAGGAAGACUGGCCCUGAGCUAACAUCCAUGCCCAUCUUCCUCUACUUUACAUGUGGGACACCUACC